GAUGAACGCUGGCGGCGUGCCUAAUACAUGCAAGUCGAGCGAACGGACGAGAAGCUUGCUUCUCUGAUGUUAGCGGCGGACGGGUGAGUAACACGUGGAUAACCUACCUAUAAUACUGGGAUAACUUCGGGAAACCGUAGCUUAUACCGGAUAAUAUUUUGAACCGCAUGGUUCAUAAGUGAAAGACGGUCUUGCUGUCACUUAUAGAUGGAUCCGCGCUGCAUUAGCUAGUUGGUAAGGUAACGGCUUACCAAGGCAACGAUGCAUAGCCGACCUGAGAGACGGGUCGCCCACAUUGGAACUGAGACACGGUCCUGACUACUACGGGAGGCAGCAGUAGGGAAUCUUACGCAAUAGGCGAAAGCCUGACGGAGCAACGCCGCGUGAGUGAUGAAGAUCUUCGGAUCGUAAAACUCUGUUAUUAGGGAAGAACAUAUGUGUAAGUAACUGUGCACAUCUUGACGGUACCUAAUCAGAAAGCCACGGCUAACUACGUG
rnacentral:rRNA from 1 species